UGCAGCAAAGCUCAGUUGGUAAGAGCAUGAGACUCUUAACCUUAGGGUUGUGGGUUUCGAGCCCCACAUAGGGCAAAA